GCUUGUGUCGUAAAUUAACAUGAACAUUUUCUGUUUUACAGUUAUUGCAUCAGCCACUCUUCAUUUUAGAGUGACAUCCAGCUAUAUUUUGUGCUAUUUUUCAAAGGUAGACAUAACAUGAACAAUAAUCAGUGUGUUAGAAGAGCAAGACAUUCAAUUCUUCCAUCUUUCUGCUUUUCCUCAGCUUUUAAACACAUAGAAGGUAUGGCCUCAAUUCCAAGUAUUUUCACUAUUUCUCUUUUAAUCUUUAAUGGCUUCAAACUGAUGUUUUAUUAAUGGAUUUCUUAUGACUGCUCUGUCUUUUUGCAAAAAUGUUCUGUUCGAGCUGCAUCGGUGCAAGCCAAGAAAAACAAGGAGAGCUCAAACUGGAAGGUUCCCAGAUGUGGACGAGUGGAGAUGUUCAAACUGGGCAAUGCAAUAAAGAAGUAUUCGGCCAUCUGGAUUUGAAAAGAUUGUCUCAACGUCAAAGCUGAUGAAAUCAGUGUUGAACUCUGGAGGAGUUCAGAGCUCCACGCAACAAUCAGUUGAGUUUAUUUUCUUUAAAAACAUCGUUUCUGCCCUCAGCCGGAUAUUGUGAGUGGAAAUCCUGUGAUGUCUGAGAAACUGCUUCUGGCCAAACAACCAAAGUUCUUGAAGAUAAGCAGCUAAUUGUAAAGCCAGACGUCUUCAAAUGAAACCAUUAUCAGAAAUGUAUAUAAUAGUAGAAGAAUAGAAAACCUCAGCCGGGUCAUUUUAAUGCAGUAAAAGCUACUUUGUUGACUGUAAGAGGGUCCAAAGGUGUGUUUUUGCUGGGCGGCUUCCAUAUAUUUCCUGUGACUCGUAAAAAAAAAAAGCAAUAGUCUUUUCUAAAAUAAAGCUUCUACUACAACAGUUGUUUGCUUAGUGUCCAAAGUUAAAAAGCUUUUUUUUUGAGCAGUCAGAUUGAAUGUUAAUCCAUCUUCUGUGUGUUUUCAAACCGAGGCUCACCUCUCAGUGGCUUGUUUAAGACCCUCCCUUUUUUUCCCCCCAUGUCAGGGUAAGGCAGAAAAGUUGUGAGAGGAAGUGCAAAAUUCUGGGAAGUUCAUACGUAACUGGGAAUGUUACAUAAAAGCACUUUAGUGCAGGUCUAGCUUUGCAAGUUCCAGUGUUUUGCAGAGAGGUAGGAACCUGGUACAAGCACUCAGCCAGGUCGCAAAGAUAGAAAGAGCAGAAACAUUUGGAGGAGAGGAAGAACUCUGUGUUCAGCAAAGAUUCCAGGGGAUUACCGUUUUCCAACUGUCAG
rnacentral:lncRNA from 1 species